ensembl:lncRNA
GUCUUAAACUAUUUGGGUCUAGUUCUAAACUACUCAGAUGUGGUCUUAAACUACUCAGAUUUAGUUUUAAACUACUCAGAUGUGGUCUUAAAAUACUCAGAUUUAGUUCUAAACUACUCAGAUGUGGUCUUAAACUAAUUGGGUCUAGUUCUAAACUACUCAGAUGUGGUCUUAAACUACUCAGAUUUAGUUUUAAACUACUCAGAUGUGGUCUUAAAAUACUCAGAUUUAGUUCUAAACUACUUGGAUGUGGUCUUAAACUACUUGGAUCUAGUUCUAAACUACUCAGAUGUGGUCUUAAACUACUCAGAUUUAGUUUUAAACUACUCAGAUGUGGUCUUAAAAUACUCAGAUUUAGUUCUAAACUACUUGGAUGUGGUCUUAAACUACUUGGAUCUAGUUCUAAACUACUCAGAUGUGGUCUUAAACUACUUGGAUUUAGUUCUAAACUACUCGGAUGUGGUCUUAAACUACUUGGAUCUAGUUCUAAACUACUCAGAAGUGGUCUUAAACUACUCUGAUCUAGGCUUCUUCUUGGAUGUUCACCACUGUAUGUUAUUUUAACCGAGAUGAUUUAACUAGAUCUGUUUGUCUAUAUAAGUCUUUUCUUUUUUUUCGUUACAGUUCAAACGAAGUGAACCUGGAACUGGGGAAUCUUGAAGCUCGACUGACAUUUUACCAAACAAUUCAUGGUCGAAGUAUGAAUAUAGUUAUACAACUCAAAAUCACUCUAAUAAUAUUGUUGUAUUUCUGGCUUAAAAGAAGAAUACAUAGUUAAAUGUGCGAAUGAAAAAUAUCAGACUGAUGCCUGUAUUAUGUUACUGAUUGUUGUUUAUUAUCAAGUUGAUUUAUUAAAAAUCACAAAAUAACCUGCGGCAGAAUGUUUCUUCUGACUUCUGAUGUGCAAGUUUUUAAAUAUUUGUCAUGUUAUUCACGUAGUUUUGGUCACAAGUUAAACAAAUGUACGGCGCUUUACUUGAGUACUUACAUGUUCUGCUAUUCUCCUUUUACUGUACUACAUCUCAGAGGUCUGUAUUGUAAUUUUUACUGUACUACAUCUCAGAGGUCUGUAUUGUACUUUUUACUGUAGUACAUCUCAGAGGUCUGUAUUGUAUUGUACUUUUUACUGCAGUACUUCCUUUAAACCAGGCAGUCUCUGUUCUCACAGCGACCUCAUCAGUCUGUUAUUUCUGUCAUGCGCAAUUCAAACUGCAAUCUCACCACUGUGAUCUCUGUGUGAAGCUGCAUCAAACUACAGACACAUUUACCGGAAAUAGAUACUUUCAGAAUAAAGGUGAAGCAACAUAUGUACACUGCAAUUUUGGAGAUUGUUUUUGUUCUACAUUAUAACGCAAAAGAAGAAAGGACUUAAAACGCUAUAGAUAUAAUGUAAAUACACAACAUUAAUUAAAUGAAAAACCGCAUGAUUCAACAUCUGAUCGAUUAAAUGUUCUAGUAGCUAUUAUUACGGUGGCCAAUACACAUUUUAGUGCAAACAUUAUAAUGUGCGUUAGUACGAUCAGGGAAUGGAUUUUAUUCAAGUAAUAACUGGAAAGUUUGCAUAUUGUAUGAUAGACUUGUAUUAACGUGUUUUGUCCACAUACAAAUAGAUUAUAACGGGUAUAUUUUAUUCUGAAACGUGUAAG